GCCAAAUGAAUUGAUCACCAGAUGUAACAAAAGAUAUCUUGAUAUUUAUUUAAUCCCAAACAAAAAACAAAUACAAAGAAGAUGAUAUACUACUAACAUAAGGUGCAAACAUUUGUACAUCAUAUCCGGAUUUCGACAAUUAAUGUCUCUUCAGUGAUGUUAGGGAUCGAAACGGUUUUUGGAAGGCCAUACAAUUUAUCUCAAUUAAGGAUAGACUCUUGAAUUUAAAAGAGUCGAAAUAGGUGGAUUGGAUCAUAAUCACCCGACGGAAAAUAUAAUACAAGCCUAAACGAAAACAUAUAAA
rnacentral:lncRNA from 1 species